rnacentral:sRNA from 1 species
AGUGUCAAUCCUGGGACCGUGAAAGGUACUGAUCUAGAGGGCGAAGUUGGUGAAACACAGGCCGUGGAAAAAGAAAACCUUUUGGUUGGUGAAGCUCAUCCUGCUAUCCCUCACGGUCAUUCUCCUUCAUCUUCAUCUUCUUCAUUUAACAUGGUCGACUUCCCAAGCAUGCCUGCUGUUGAGGUCUUGUCUGGUGGUUCUUCAUCUACUACAAAAGACGUGCCAGUUCCUCUUCAGGAGGAUAUAGAAAAGAAUGACGUGGAGAUAACCAUGCUCAAGGAGCUCGAGGAAAUGGGUUUCAAGGAGAUAGAUUUGAACAAGGAGAUCUUGAGGGAUAACGAGUACAACCUGGAGCAGUCUGUUGAUGCUCUUUGUGGAGUUAGCGAGUGGGAUCCAAUCCUAGAGGAGCUUCAGGAGAUGGUAAGUGUGUCUGCACUUGGUGAAUUUAUUAAAUCUUACUUUGCAGAUUGGAAUGUUGAAAAUAUUGUGAUUUUGCAGGGCUUCUGUGAUGAUGUGACGAACAAGAGACUGCUGAAGAAGAACAAUGGAAGCAUCAAAGGCGUGGUAAUGGAUCUCCUCACAGGGGAGAAGGAGGCUUGAUGAGCUCUUUGGUUUCUGGCAACUCUUCUCUAUCUCUCUUAUCUAUCAGGAAUAAUUAUGUUUUAUAAAUAAAACCUGAUCUCUUAGUUUGGUUUCGUGCUGCGUCACAUGGUCUGUUCCUUUGCUUUGUGUUGGGAUGAUGUUACU